CUUAUUUCACUAUGUUCGUUUUUUGUUAAAGUGCUCAUAUUAUCCUUUUUGGCUUUUUUCCCCUUUCCGUUAUUGUGUUAUAUAUAUUUUUCCUGCACAUUAUAGGUUUACGAACUGAAACAACUUAAAGUCCCCCCCAAAGGGACUUAUCAUCUUCAACAGAAAACACUUUUCACACAAUGCUCCAAACAGCUCUAUUGUAGUCGAGCCUUAACUUCUGUGAUGAACGUGCAUCCCUUUGUAACACACGCUAUAAUACUCGCCUAGCUGCUAGCAUGGCACACCCUCAUACUCUGCUUCUGACUGGCUAGUAGUCCUUACCUAGCCACUGUGCAUGUGCGACUCCCAACAAAGAUGGAACAGA